rnacentral:rRNA from 1 species
UCGUAGUUGAAAUACUGAUGUAGUCGACCGGUCCCGUGCUUUGUCGCGGUCUACUCGUGUCGAGCUAGAUCAUUCUUGGUGAUAACCGAUCUGGCAUUAGGUUGUUGGAUUUUGGUGAAGACCAUCGUUUACUGUGAAAAAAUUAGAGUGUUCAAAGCAGACUUAUGUCGUUGAAUAGAUUAGCAUGGAAUAAUAAUAUAGGACUUUUGCACUAUUUUGUUGGUUAGGUGUGAAAGUAAUGAUCAACAGGGACAGUUGGGCAUAUUUGUAUUUCGUUGCUAGAGGUGAAAUUCUUGGAUUCUCGAAAGACAAACUACUGCGAAAGCAUUUAUGAAGGAUGUUUUCAUUAAUCAAGAGCGAAAGUUAGGGGAUCGAAGAUGAUUAGAUACCAUCGUAGUCUUAACCAUAAACUAUGCCGACUCGGGAUUGGACGUUGUUUUUUGACUCGCCCAGCACCGUGUGGGAAACCAUUAGUCUUUGGGUUCCGGGGGGAGUUAUGGUCGCAAGACUGAAACUUAAAGAAAUUGACGGAAGGGCACCACCAGGAGUGGAGCCUGCGGC